UUCCUCCGGGUGCUCUGACAUGUUCUCCCUGUGUCAGUGUGGGUUUCCUCCAGGUGCUCUGACAUGUUCUCCCUGUGUCAGCGUGGGUUUCCUCCAGGUGCUCCCACAUGUUCUCCCUGUGUCAGCGUGGGUUUCCUCCAGGUGCUCUGACAUGUUCUCCCUGUGUCAGCGUGGGUUUCCUCCAGGUGCUCUGACAUGUUCUCCCUGUGUCAGCGUGGGUUUCCUCCAGGUGCUCUGACAUGUUCUCCCUGUGUCAGCGUGGGUUUCCUCCAGGUGCUCCCACAUGUUCUCCCUGUGUCAGCGUGGGUUUCCUCCAGGUGCUCCCACAUGUUCUCCCUGUGUCAGCGUGGGUUUCCUCCAGGUGCUCUGACAUGUUCUCCCUGUGUCAGCGUGGGUUUCCUCCAGGUGCUCUGACAUGUUCUCCCUGUGUCAGUGUGGGUUUCCUCCAGGUGCUCUGACAUGUUCUCCCUGUGUCAGUGUGGGUUUCCUCCAGGUGCUCUGACAUGUUCUCCCUGUGUCAGUGUGGGUUUCCUCCAGGUGCUCUGACAUGUUCUCCCUGUGUCAGCGUGGGUUUCCUCCAGGUGCUCUGACAUGUUCUCCCUGUGUCAGCGUGGGUUUCCUCCAGGUGCUCUGACAUGUUCUCCCUGUGUCAGCGUGGGUUUCCUCCAGGUGCUCUGACAUGUUCUCCCUGUGUCAGCGUGGGUUUCCUCCAGGUGCUCCCACAUGUUCUCCCUGUGUCAGCGUGGGUUUCCUCCAGGUGCUCUGACAUGUUCUCCCUGUGUCAGCGUGGGUUUCCUCCAGGUGCUCUGACAUGUUCUCC